rnacentral:rRNA from 1 species
UACGUAGGGUGCAAGCGUUAAUCGGAAUUACUGGGCGUAAAGCGUACGCAGGCGGCUUUGCAAGACAGGUGUGAAAUCCCCCGGGCCUAACCUGGGAACUGCAUUUGUGACUGCAUGGCUAGAGUUUGUCAGAGGGGGGUGGAAUUCCACGUGUAGCAGUGAAAUGCGUAGAUAUGUGGAGGAACACCGAUGGCGAAGGCAGCCCCUGGGAUGUGACUGACGCUCAUGUACGAAAGCGUGGG